rnacentral:rRNA from 1 species
UCUUUACAAUAAACAUAUUUUAUAUUUUAAUUUAUAAGUGUAUAAGAUAUAAAUUUUGUAGUUGUUUCGCUGGGGCGGCGUAGAUAUAUAAAUAAACUGUCUAUAUAUUAAAUCCAGUAAUUACUGAUUAAUAAAAUUGAUCCUUGAAUAGAUUAAAAGAUUAAGAU